UGGAGCGGCUGUAGUUCCAAAAGGUCGGGCUGCUGGAGGGAGAGCUGGAAUCUGAGCUUCCUGCAAAGAUCCAUUCAUUAAGAAGUUAACUUCAAUUAUUGCCAAGUAAUUCUGGAUAAACAGCAUGGGGACAAGAGGCCCCACACUCAUGGAAUAGGGAGAUCCGUUGGGAGAGUGGCUGAAGCUGGAAACCUUGGGAGCAAACAAACCAGAAAAACCCUGAAUUUCCUUUCAUUGACAAGGUUAAAGCUGUGCCACGGGGCCGUGUGCUGGGGGUUACCUUGGCGUAGCUGCUGCUGGGUGAGUAAGUGGCAGAGGGGCUGUGAGAGGGGCUGGUCCCUGGCAGAGCCUGGAGCUGGGGGCUGUAGCCACCGAGGCAGCUGGCAGAGAACUUGGGGCUGGCGCUGGGCGAGCGGGACGGGCUGUAGCUCAGCACACACUGGCCCUGGAUGGGCGGGGACGGCGUCAGGGACAGCACCCGCUUGGCUGCUGCCUCCC